AAAUUACUCCCUCCGUUCAGAAUUACUUGUCACAAAAAUGGAUGUAUCUACAACUAAAAUACAUCUAGAUACAUUCAUUUCUUCGACAAGUAAUUCCAAACGGAGGGAGUACAAU
rnacentral:pre_miRNA from 1 species